rnacentral:lncRNA from 1 species
UGCACUUGGAAGGGAUGACCAAUAGUUCUGUGUUCCUGACCUGUCUUACAGUCUUUCUCUUCUAACCGCAGUGGACCGUUUGGCUGAUCACGUCACUCUACAGCUGAACUUCUGCCACAUUUGAGCACCCACAUUAAAGACAAAAGUUGGGGAGAUAAUGGAGAGGCAAGACAGCAAUAUGGGAUUGGCUGGAAAAAUGACAGACUGCAUAUGCACAUCAAAUAAAUUCCAAACGCAGCCGUCUAUUCCCAAGGUUUGGACAAAACAAAGGAACGAAUGUGGAACAGAAGUUUCAAAGACCUCUAUGGAAAGAUAAAGCUCUCAGAGGUAUCAACCUCAUAUGAAAGGGUCUUUUAAAAGGUCAUUUAAUUAAAGCUAUGGAGAAGAAA